CAGUGCUCCUUUGACGACGUUUAUUCAGCGACUGGGCGAAAUACAUCUCCGACCCGAGGCAGCUCACCGGCUUCGGAGACUUGACCUCUCUGAAAGCCGACUUCAGGAGAUUGAGGCCUUUGAUGUACACAAUCCCUUGACUCCUGCAAUGCCCAAGUCUUUCACUUCCCAGUUAAGGGUAUUACAAAUUGAAACUAAUCCCAAUCACUCUUUACCACAGAGACGAACUUAAAAGAGAUCGAUUACAAACGUAUUGACGACAUGCAUCACCUGGUGCAAGGAUAUGAAUAUGAUUAUGCAAGCCCAAAUCCAAGAAAAAGGUCAACCAAAUCCUUGUUCUAUCAUUCUUGAAGCAAUAUUUUCUUGCUGUAUGAUUAUAAUCUUUUAUGCUGUGGAAUGAAUGCCUAUUUAUUGCCAUUGU